rnacentral:tRNA from 1 species
CUGCCCGUGGCACAGCUGGAUAGCGCGUCAGACUCCGACUCUGAAGGACGAAGGUUCGAAUCCUUUCGGGCAGGCCA